GUGAGGAUUGGGAUAUUCCGACUCCUUAAGGGCCUGGCGCACAUAAGGUGUGACCUUUUCAUUCCCGUUGUUAUGGAGGGCCACAUCUGCCAGAGCCUGGAGUCUGCGAAGGCCGGGACCCGGUUCCCCGGCCCACAGUGGGGGUGUGCAAACCCGAGAGAACUGGGAAGUGCCGUCAGAAGCGAUAACUGACGACGUCUAAUGUCUAUCUGACCGCAGUCGCUGAAACCUCUACAACUUAGUUGACCGUAACUGCCAGAGCCCUGCCCUGAAUUCCUGUCCUUACUCCCUCUUUAAGAUUGCGUACCCACUGCAGAGUGCUGAAGACGGGGUAGCCACGAGGUUGCAAAUUCGUGAAGAAUCAGCAUCAUGUUUGGCAGCUGAGUAUUGGAGCCAGGAGCCUGCCAUGAGGUUUUGAGAACAGAGUGCUGUUUUAGAGCUGGCAGCAGCAUCUCAGCCCAAGAGAAGGUUAUAUUCCCAGAGGAUGUCAGUCCCAAGGACCAGUAGCUGCCAUCAGUUUGGAUUCUGAAAACUAACUGGCAUCAACACUGGGUGUAGAAACAUGCUUGCCUUAUGUAUCAGAGGACAUGCUCAGCAGAUCCAAGAGAUAUAUUUGGCAACUUUUUCUAGAAAAGGCACAUUGGGUAUCAUUCAUUACAUUCUUGAGUUUUUUUGGGUUUUUUUUUUUUUUUUUGAGACAGUCUUGCUGUAUUGCCCAGGCUGGAGUGUGGUGGCACAAUCACAGCUCAUUGCAUCCUCAAUCACCCAGGCCUAAGCAAUCCUCCCACCUUGUAGCUGGGACUACAGCUCACAGCACACCUGGCUAAAAUUUUUUUUUUGUUGAGACGGAUUCUCUAUGUUGCCCAGGCUGGUCUCAGGCUCCUGGGCUCAGAUGGUCCUCCUGCCUCAGCUUCCAAAGGCACAGGCCAAGUUGUAGCUUUGUCCCUUGCCAUCAUGCCCAACAAGAGGUUCUAUACCUUUUAAUGAAUUGACUUUCAUAAAUUGGUUAUGUUGGUGGGCAAAGUUCUUUAAGCUGGAAAUUGUAAAUUCCUCCUGAAAUGUUUUUUCAUGCAGUUACCAUGAACUAAUACUACAAUAAAGGAUGGUCUUGGGUGUCAAUUCUUGAAAA
rnacentral:lncRNA from 1 species